AGUGUGUUGAUGCAGGUUAUAGAGGGUGUGCACAUACGUCAUUUCCCCCCCAGGCCACACCCCUCUAAGUCAGACUGAGUGGCCAAAACCAACCUGCUCAACAUGACGGAGAAUAAAAAUA